CGGGACGGGUGAGUAACGCGUGGAUAACCUGCCUCACACUGGGGGAGUAACAUUAGAAAUGGCUGCUAAUACCGCAUAAGCGCACAGUACCGCAUGGUACGGUGUGAAAACCCAGGUGGUGUGAGAUGGAUCCGCGUCUGAUUAGCCAGUUGGCGGGGUAACGGCCCACCAAAGCGACGAUCAGUAGCCGACCUGAGAGGGUGACCGGCCACAUUGGGACUGAGACACGGCCCAA
rnacentral:rRNA from 1 species